GCCUGGGUGGCUCAGCGGUUGAGCAUCUGCCUUCAGCUCAGGGCAUGAUCCCCCAGUCCUGGGAUCGAGUCCCACAUCAGGCU
rnacentral:tRNA from 1 species